UGAAUAGUAUGCAUUCCUUCU
rnacentral:sRNA from 1 species